rnacentral:rRNA from 1 species
UACGUAGGGGGCAAGCGUUGUCCGGAAUCAUUGGGCGUAAAGGGCGCGUAGGCGGCCAUGCGUGUCUUCCGUGAAAUCCCUCGGCUUAACUGAGGACGUGCGGAAGAAACUGCAAGGCUCGAGUCCGGGAGAGGGGGGUGGAAUUCCCAGUGUAGCGGUGAAAUGCGUAGAUAUUGGGAGGAACACCGGUGGCGAAGGCGGCCCCCUGGACCGGUACUGACGCUGAGACGCGAAAGCGUGGGGAGCAAACAGG